CCUCCCCGUGGGUAUGGAGGAAAGGACCGGGUGCCCACGCCGCCUAUACGAAUUCUAAAACAGCCCACACCUAUUCCUUCACAUGACGAUAAUUCACCUGGUUCUCCGGACUCUCCAGACGACAAAGAAUGGUCCAGCACGCACGAUAAACUUUAUCUAGGACGAUUGGACAAAGCACCCGCGCCGAAGCUUCCCAAACCGCCGAAAUAUUCCCAGGCACGCCACCCUCGUGUCCAGAAAGCUCAGUUUCUUGGAGAACAGCCGCUUGCAACAUUUG